CCCGUGUGUAUCCGCCGGUGGGCCUUGAGAUGAGAGCUCUUGGUGUACACCUUGUUGCAGCCCUCAAAGUCACACUGAUGAAUCCGCCGCUUCUUCAGGGAUGCUUCCUUGAUGAUGCUCAUUGAAGACAACUCCAGUCCUACAGAUCACAAACAUCUGCUGAGUAGGUGGUGCAAGACAGGGGUGUUUAAUACCAUGAAGAUUUAGAAUCGAUGGAAGAUCUUGCGUGCAGCCCAGCCUCAGCUCUCCAGCUGAGAUCUGCGCCCUUGCUCUUAGGUCCCAUAUCACAGCUCACCCUUGCAGGCAUUUUCCCAGUGUGCGGGACAGAGAUCAGAGGGAAAGCAUGAUUUUGUGAAUGCAGAGUUGGAGAGCCAGGCUGAGUCACCACACCCUCUUUUAUAGAGCAAUUGGAUGCAGCAAGAAAUAAAGGAAGAGAUGCUGACAAGCAUCGGCUCCCACCCAAGUCAGAUUCCCCUAACUCACAGCACUUCCAUUCUUCCUAUGUUUAACUGAACCACACACAAGAAUUCAUUUAAAGUGGACUUAAUGUCAAGACAUACCAGUGCCAGAUACUGCCCAACUGACUCGUCACAACACAGCCAAUAUAGCUCAUAUGCACACAUGGCCCAGAGCUGCCACAUCCUUCAGAUCCUGUGUACCUGCAUCAUCCCCAGCAGGGAGACAGAGCAUCCCAGGACUAUUGCUGCGUGGCCUUUGGUUCCUCUUUACUGUUAUCUUUCAAUCAUGCCAGAAAGUGUUGAAAGGCCAAUGUCAUCCUUGACUGCUUUACCUGCAAAUUUUGCCUCAGCAUGGAAAAAGGAAAAUCUCAAAUGAAACUUUGGAAUGACCUUCAGUCAAUGACCUCCAGAACACCGUGAAAGGAAAAACGCAGCUGUUACACAUCUACUUGCCAAAGCUGCCCUGGGUCUUAGAAGAAAGAAAACCCACUUUCCAAAGCUCCAGGAUCUGAAAUCCCUGGUAGCAAAAAUUUAUUUUCAUGACUGAAGACAAGGAGAAAUUUAUAAAUGUAUUCUAGCAACCUACCAAUAAAAUAGUAAAUACUUCA